rnacentral:rRNA from 1 species
CACAUCACGAAAGUGGAUUGUACUAGAAGUCUGCGCGCUAACCCGCAAGGGAGGCAGCGGCCCAAGGUAUGAUUCAUGAUUGGAGUG